UGGGGAAUAUUGCACAAUGGACGCAAGUCUGAUGCAGCAACGCCGCGUGGAGGAUGACGCAUUUCGGUGUGUAAACUCCUUUUAUAGGGGAAGAUAAUGACGGUACCCUAUGAAUAAGCACCGGCUAACUCCGUGCCAGCAGCCGCGGUAAUACGGAGGGUGCAAGCGUUACUCGGAAUCACUGGGCGUAAAGGAUGCGUAGGCUGGAAAUCAAGUCGAAAGUGAAAUCCAACGGCUCAACCGUUGAACUGCUUUCGAAACUGGUUACCUAGAAUAUGGGAGAGGUAGAUGGAAUUAGUGGUGUAGGGGUAAAAUCCGUAGAUAUCACUAGGAAUACCGAUUGCGAAGGCGAUCUACUGGAACAUUAUUGACGCUGAGGCAUGAAAGCGUGGGGAGCAAACAGG
rnacentral:rRNA from 1 species